rnacentral:rRNA from 1 species
UACGAAGGGGGCUAGCGUUGCUCGGAAUCACUGGGCGUAAAGGGUGCGUAGGCGGGUCUUUAAGUCAGGGGUGAAAAUCCUGGGAGCUCAACUCCAGAACUGCCUUCGAUACUGGCGAUCUUGAGUCCGGAAGAGGUGAGUGGAACUCCUAGUGUAGAGGUGGAAUUCGUAGAUAUUAGGAAGAACACCAGUGGCGAAGGCGGCUACACUG